rnacentral:rRNA from 1 species
AUGAUUCGUGGGACGUCCUGCCGGUGGUGGCGAGUCGAAGGCGUGCUCCCGUUGUGGUUUCCACUUCGGUUCUUGCGCGCCCGAGGCGGACCCCGAUGAAAUCCUACCGCGGUGCUCUUCGCCGAGUGUCGAGGUGGGCCGGCACGUUUACUUUGAACAAAUUAGAGUGCUUAAAGCAGGCCUGUUGCGCCUGAAUACUGUGUGCAUGGAAUAAUGGAAUAGGACCUCGGUUCUAUUUUGUUGGUUUUCGGAACCCGAGGUAAUGAUUAAUAGGGACAGGCGGGGGCAUUCGUAUUGCGACGUUAGAGGUGAAAUUCUUGGAUCGUCGCAAGACGGACCGAAGCGAAAGCAUUUGCCAAGUAUGUUUUCAUUAAUCAAGAACGAAAGUUAGAGGUUCGAAGGCGAUCAGAUACCGCCCUAGUUCUAACCAUAAACGAUGCCAGCUAGCGAUCCGCCGAAGUUCCUCCGAUGACUCGGCGGGCAGCUCCCGGGAAACCAAAGCUUUUGGGUUCCGGGGGAAGUAUGGUUGCAAGCUGAACUUAAAGGAAUUGACGGAAGG